UACGUAGGGUGCAGGCGUUUAAUCGGAAUUACUGGGCGUAAAGCGUGCGCAGGCGGCUCUUUAAGUCAGAUGUGAAAUCCCGGGCUUAACCUGGGAACCGCAUUGUGACUGCAUAGCUGGAGUACGGCAGAGGGGGAGUGGAAAUUCCGCGUGUAGCAGUGAAAUGCGUAGAUAUGCGGAGGGAACACCGAGUGGCGAAGGCAGUCCCUGGGCCUGUACGUGACGUCAUGCACGAAAGCCGUGGGGAGCAAACAGG
rnacentral:rRNA from 1 species